rnacentral:rRNA from 1 species
UACGUAGGGUGCAAGCGUUGUCCGGAAUUAUUGGGCGUAAAGAGCUUGUAGGCGGUUUGUCGCGUCUGCUGUGAAAAUCCGGGGCUCAACCCCGGACUUGCAGUGGGUACGGGCAGACUAGAGUGUGGUAGGGGAGACUGGAAUUCCCGGUGUAGCGGUGAAAUGCGCAGAUAUCAGGAGGAACACCGAUGGCGAAGGCAGGUCUCUGGGCCGCGACUGACGCUGAGAAGCGAAAGCAUGGGGAGCGAACAGG